rnacentral:rRNA from 1 species
GACGAACGCUGGCGGCGUGCCUAAUACAUGCAAGUCGAGCGGAUGGAUGGGAGCUUGUUCCCUGAAGUCAGCGGCGGACGGGUGAGUAACACGUGGGCAACCUGCCCCUAAGAUCGGGAUAACUUAGGGAAACCGGAGCUAAUACCGGAUAUGAUUAUGUCUCACAUGAGACAUAAUGGAAAGACGGUUUCGGCUGUCACUUAGGGAUGGGCCCGCGGCGCAUUAGCUAGUUGGUGAGGUAACGGCUCACCAAGGCGACGAUGCGUAGCCGACCUGAGAGGGUGAUCGGCCACACUGGGAUUGAGACACGGCCCAGACUCCUACGGGAGGCAGCAGUAGGGAAUCUUCCGCAAUGGACGAAAGUCUGACGGAGCAACGCCGCGUGAGUGAAGAAGGUUUUCGGAUCGUAAAACUCUGUUGUUAGGGAAGAACAAGUACCAUAGUAACCGAUGGCACCUUGACGGUACCUAACCAGAAAGCCACGGCUAACUACGUGCCAGCCGCCGCCGUAA